UCAGUGAUCAGUGCAGUGCUCUGUGCUGGUGCUGCUGUGCUGGCCGUGCUGGUCACUGUAGCCGUAGUUGCGGUUGUUCCGUUCCGUUUGGCCCUGUUCUGUUUCGUCAAGCUCUGUUGUAAACUUUAUUUGUUGUUGGUGAAGUCUUGAACGCUGGCAGAUUUUUUGGUUCCCGCUUCCGGCGCUUUGCUGAUGUCGGCGAUCGGUUCCCAAGCAGCACAAUCAAGUGCGUGUGCAUAGUGGUGGAUUGGUAAAAAUGUUAUUUCCUUUAUGAGCAGCUCUGCGAAAAAAAGCACCGCACUGACAGGUCUUCUGCCAGCCACCCCCAUAUACUUGAACUUCCAGUAGAUUGUGCGGCUAUGAUUGUGCUGCUUGGGUUUUUAACGUUGCCGCCGUGCGUGAUAGUUGUAAGCUUCGCCGUCACAUGUCAUCGUUUUAGAAAAGCAGCAAGUCUUCCAAUUUUGCACACUGAUAACGGGACACUCGUGUGGCUUUCUUGUGAGAUCCUUGGGCGGGUGUUGCUGGAAGUGCCUGCGUGUUCUUAUGCAUUACAGUUUCAGUGUUAAACAAGGCACCUUGUUGUUUCAGGUGCACCUCCCAUGUGGCUGAACAACCCAGGAGGCACAGAAUUCAGUUAUGCUGGAUAUCAUUUCAGAGUGCUUGCCCAUUUCCAACCCAAGAGCAGUCAGUCGUCAUUUAUCAAAUAGUUUGUCAGCAAUAAGGUCUCCUCUCAUUUACACACGGGGGAAAACUGGUGGAGAUUCAUCCACAUUGAUGUUGAGAUUAGCAACUCUUGAAUGGCUUUUGGAAACGGAAGAAAUCGUUUGAUUGCAUAUUAAUGAUGGUGGACCUAUUGGGACAUAUUAAGCCAAAGCCAGGGAAUAGGUAAAUUACUCAUUUGUGGCAUACGAACACAUGGUAAAUCAGUCGUGGAUCCGGGGGGGAGGGGGGGCGAUUGCCUCCCCAAAAAAAGUCAGGUUAUACAUUGGAUUUCCCUCUCUCCCCACCUCCACUGUGCGCUCCAAGAAGAAACCCUCCCCAAACCGAGUGUCUGGAUCCGCCCCUGUGGUAAAUGCACCCCUGAAGUAAAGCACCCCCUCACUGAUAUUUCACACAGAAACAGCUCUUCUGAUGGCCUUAUGAUUGGCAUUGUAGUUAAAGGGGAUUACGUGGUGGGAUCUUCGAUAGACCAAAAUCUCCAAUCAGUGGCCUUAGACAUUGGGUCAUGCUUUGUCAGGUUGAACAAGUGCUACAUGCUUGUUUGCCAAAGCAAACACAAAGUAAAACCAGGGGGUAUACUACGAGUUUCAAACAUAUGGAGGACGCUUUAGAUGUGAUGGAUAGUGUGGCAGUGAACAUGAUGAUUUAAAAAGGUUCUGAAGAGAUAGAGGAAAAUCUACUUGUGGAGCACUUCUAGCCUACUUCUGAUUUCAUAAUGCCAAAUGGAGCGGGCAAAAAAGGCCACCAGGGUGCUGGUGUGCGACCUCUGUGGCUACACGACGCGCUGGAAGCACCACAUGGACAGUCACGUGAGAUGUCACACUGGGGAGAGACCGUUCAGCUGCGGCUUGUGUCCCAACGCAUUCACCAAGAAGAGCCACCUGGACAGACACACGCGGGUCCACACUGGGGAACGACCCUUUCAGUGUCCCAUGUGUGGGCAACGUUUUGCUCAGUCAUACAACCUCAAUACUCACAUGAAAAAGCACUAGUCAACCUGAUGUGGACAUCUUUUUGUGGGGGAAAACUUCUAUCCUGCUCUAGUUGUUCCACUCGUGAGGAUAUUUUUAUGAGCUUCUGUGUAUGCUUCAGGAACUGUGAUGCCCAUACUAUUAUUUUGCAGCAAAAUUAAUUGCUUUUGCUGUCAUUUUUUGGUUAAUAUUAGCUCUUUCUAUGGAAUAAUGUUGUGAAAGGCUUCAAAAAGUCUUUGAUGCAAGAGGACACUGUUUUAAAAGCACACGUUUAUUGUUCAUCCUAAAGGAAAAAUAACAAAUGCUCAACACCUUGUAGAAGGGAUCAGCCUAUAAGGAGCAGACAAAAUAUGUUUUCUUAUCGCUGCAAAAUUUCAUUUACAAAAUACCUUGAACGUUUAGCCUUAUGUGUGACUCUCUAUUUGCUCUUGAUCAUAUAAGCAGUACAGUGUGACAUCCCUCACUCAUUCCCUUCUGGGCCCCAUGAAUGAGCUGAGGAUUUCUACAUGACAGACCUGUGUGCAACAAAGUGCACACUUCCUAAUCUAAAUAGUGCAGAAAAUCUCUAGUAAAAUGUGCUGAUUGAGUGGUCUGAAGCAUACUUGCUCUUUGCUUUGUUACGCAGAGUGACAAUUUCGUAAUUCAACGUGCACAUUGGCGAGCUUGCAGAAUUUUGGGGACAGCGUUAGCAAUGUAGCUCCCCAUGUCCUUAUUCACUAAGUAGAAAUCACCUGGGACUUAAUUUAUUUUGCUAGAAGGAGUAUUUAUGUGUGUGGUAACUAAAAAAUGCUGUUGCAUUUUUUUACGUCCAAAGAUUUCUUGAAUGACGUAUUUUGAUUCCAGAUAUUUGUAGUGGUCCAAAGAAAGGUCCCUGGUGUUGUCCUUCUAUGCAACAUUUAUUAUCCUGUGGCAGAUUCACACUAACUUCCACGUGAAUGGCUGAAACUUGGCUGCAUGACGAUGAGUAAAUGAAAUGAUGGCCUAAUGUAGUGCUUGACAGUUGUUUGUGCCGUAUGCAAGAUCUUGGUAUGUGGGGUGCCAGUACACAGGGGUUUUGUUGAGUUAUAACAAGUCACUGGAUAAAGUGGUCUGCAUGAUGUCCAUGUAGAUGGUCAAAUGCUGCAGCUUUGUCUUUGUAAAUCUGUCUUAUAUCUUGAUCGAGGGUGUCCUUAUCUGCAUUCAAUCUGCCAGUAUGCAUAUCUAGUCUGUACCCUUAGUGACAUGAUCUGAUCUGCACUUACAAACUUUAUAGGAAGCUGUCUUGCUUGAAUCUAUACAAAUUGCUGUCCACGGAUAUUUUCCUGUCUUCACCUGUGACAUAAGUGCCUGGCCAGAAGUGAUUAUCUCACCCAAUCUGUUAACUUUGCUGGGGAUGCACUUUGAGAUAACGCACACUGUUGGGCUUCUGCUCGGGGAACUUUAUAUAUUUGCUAGUCAAUUUGUCUUCUGCUCUAGUUAUAAUUGGUUGCAUCAUCUUCUGACUGCUUCUUGGCAGGUACGUCUUGUGCACAAACAUGUUAAUUCAGGUGUCUCAACCCAUUAAUGUUUGCCACGAUACAUGGCAACACAGGGUCAACUGUAGUUGUGUCAAAAUAGAGUAUUGUGCUGUGUGUACUAUAAUAAAUGUGCCAAAUUCUCGUACAAUUGUUUUGUCUCUGUCGAAAAGUAUUUGUAAGGAACCUGUGCAUGCUGAGGUACCUUUUACAUGUUUCAGUUGAUGAUAAUGAAUAUUGAUGAAUAGUGUAGAUUACAAACUGGGAAUUCCAGCCUGGUCUUUAUUAUGUCUGUUCAGUUUAGAUUAGAUUUCUGUGUUUGCAUGCAUACAGAGAUGCAUCAGUAGUUCUUUGUUCUGAUUGUCUAAAAUUGUAGCAUUGUCGGGUUUUGUACAUGUUAGACUGUCAAGUGGGCCCACAUUACUGCCAUUUGACAAAAGUGGUGUUUCAGGGGUGACUAGGAUUGUUUUCUAUACAGUUAAUGUUUACAGUUUCUAACAUGCUGAGCUCUGUGAUGUCUCUCUUCACUCAAACCAAAAACAAACUGAAUUUAAUUGCAUGCAUAUUGUGCUGCAGUAUUUUAAUGCAUUUCACAUACAUUUCAAAAUGAGAUGUUGUGUUGUAUAAAAACGAAAAUGCUUUCACAGUAUUUCCGGUGUACCUGAUGGACUUGAAGUGCAGUUCAUGCAUGGCCAUGCUGUACACUGAGGAGGAAGCAACACAUCAUCAGUGCAGCACAAAGCUUCGUGGCCGAUAUGCGUGCAGGUAUUGUCCUUUCUCCUGCAAUGAUCGUGAGCUCAAGGUUCAGCAUCAAGGGAAACAUUUGAAGCAGAAACCCUACAGUUGCAUGGUUUGUGGCAAAGCAUUUGCUCGAAACAGUGACCUGAACCGCCACCUGAAGAUCCACACAGGGAUACGUCCAUUUCGAUGCGACAUCUGUUCGCGCAAGUUCAAGAUGUCUUGGCAUCUACAAUAUCACCGCAGCACGCACAUUGAAAAGCUGCCAUAAUCUAAAUUGACGAUAAACUUUCCAGUCUUGUUCCCGUUGAAAGACUUAUGAUGGUGCAUGAGUAUUAGUCUCCAUUUAAAGUGACCGUCGCAUCCAGAAAUGGGUCUAUCAAAUUGAUACCAUAGUGUUCGGUAUCGUUCAUUGGUCUAUUUGACAAAUUUUCAUGACUGGGAACUGCUUAGACAUUAAAUAAACAAAUUUUAAAGAUCAGAGCCGCCUCCGCGGGACUGAAAUCAAUGUGACAUAUUUAUCUAAGCGAACCAGAGGGCUGUGCUGGCUGGGAGCAGUCGACCGUGUUGUUAUUGUCUCUAAGUUCGUCUGCUCUGCUUUCGACACUUGUGAAUAUUGGGAAAUUCGCUUCGUCACGUCACGUGAGCAUUCGACUACUUUCACGUCUGGAAGCUCUGAAGUGAUCAUGUCAAGCAGUGCAAGUUGUUACAGUCCUGGUUAUAUGAAGAUGCCCACAGCUAACCCAGAGGUGUUUCACGAGCCGAGGGCCCGCGAGACGAGGUGAAAGUGGGAAGAUGCAAUUUCCUGUCAAACCCUGACCUACGAGAAAAACUACGCGUCUCUUCUUCGCAUUUUUCGGACGACGUCUACAGGUCCACUGACAUUAAGCGAAUGCGCGUGGGGAUUCCAGUAAAAAAGAAAGCCUUUCAGUUGACGCCGUGCCGAUAUCCACUGAACAAAGGCAACUACUCAGCAUGCCAUUGCCCGAGGUACUCAGACCCACUUCCUGAUGCCAAGUAGGGCAAGCCUCCUACCUUCCAGCACCCUCCAACAUAGUGUCAGUCGUUCUUGGGGUAUGCAGAGACGAGCACAGCUAAAAGUGUGCAACUGGCAUCCUUUGGCGAUAUAAGCUGUUCCACACCAGCACCUCGAGAUCCUGAUGUACCAGCUGUGUCAACGUGGGAUGCAUCAGGUUGACCUUCCCCUGUGCACAUCUGAUGCCCAUGCACCUUGGACCUCCUGGCUAGGCUGCUAGCUCUUGGUACAUUAACCCAUCCCACAAGCAAAUGGGGACCCAGGGCCCUGCACCUGAAUGCAUCACUGUAAAGUUGAACAUGGUGGAGAACUCACAGGGAAAAGUACAACAAGCACACACAGCGUUCAACUAGCAUCUGGU